UUAAGUUCAGCGGGUAUUCCUACCUGAUCCGAGGUCAAACUUUCAGAAGUGGGGGGUUUAACGGCGUGGCCGCGCUGCGAUCCAGUGCGAGUGUUGCUACUACGCAGAGGAAGCUACAGCGAGACCGCCACUAGAUUUAGGGGACGCGCGCCACGAGGGCACGCCGAUCCCCAACACCAAGCCCGGGGGCUUGAGGGUUG
rnacentral:misc_RNA from 2 species